AAAGGAAGGGGAAGGGAAGGAAGUGAUGUAAGAUGAAGGAAGGGAGGGAAGGGGAAGGAGAGGAAGGGAAGGGGAGGGAGAGGAAGGAGAGUGGUGUUAGAUGAAGGGAGGAAGAGGGAGAGGAAGGAGAGGGAAGGAAGAAAGGGAGAGGAAGAAGGAGAAACAGAUGAUAGUGUAAAAAAAGGGAGGGAAGGAGAGGAAGGGAGUAUUAGGAAGCAGUUUGAGAUGAAGGGAGGGAAUGAAAGGAAGGGAGAGAGAGUCAGGAAGUAUGUGUGUAUGUGUAAAAGGGAGGGAAGAAGGGAGACAGGGAGUGAAGGAGAGAGUGAGGGAGUGUCAGGAGGUAUGUGUGUGUGUGUGUGUGUGUGUGUAAAGAAGGGAGAGAAAAUGGAAAAAAGGGAGAGAGAGAGAGAGAGAGAGAGAGGGAGUGUCAGGGAGAGCUGUUAAAGAAAGAAAGGAAGAGGAAAAAAGCUUACAAAAGUACCAUAAUAAGGGAGAAAAUGAGAGUCCCAGUUUUAUAGUUAGGGAGAGUGUGUGUGUGUGUGUGUGUGUGUGUGUGGAAAGUCUGUUAUGUUAAGGAGAGGAACUGUAUAUAUCUAUGUGUGUGUGUGUUUGUCUGUGUGUGUGUGUGUGUGUGUGUGUGUGUGUGCGUCUCAAUCACCCACACACCACACACACGUCACUCGCCGAUGCCAAACGGUCUCAUGUUCAACGGCUUGGUCCCGAUAAUCUUGCUGAGGACUUGUAAGCGCACAGCAUCUCUUGUUUAAGUCACUAGGCGGUAAGGCUGGAGGAGGAGGAGGAGGAAGAGGAGGAGGCAGAAGAAGAAGAAGAGAAGGAGGAGGAGGAGGAGAAGUAGUUUAGUUACCAGAAGUUUAAAACAUUAGUCAUAAGGAGGAGGAGAGGAGGAGGAGAAGAUAAGAAGAAGUUGGAUAUUGAAGAGGAGAAAGAGGAAGAGGAGGAGGGGGAGAGAAACAUAUUUACCGAAACCCAAAUUACCGGUACUCACAAUUCUCUACAAUACAUACUUACGCAAAACGAGAUAGGAGGGUCAAUUGGGCAGUCUAUACAUUCUUAAGACCACAGAAAACGCAGCUAGGUAGUUCCUCUUUCAAGGGUGACUGCUCUCUCUUACCGUGUGUUCAAUAGCAAAUCUUUCUACACUAAUUUAUAUGUGUCUCGUGGUGAUGGGGGUGAUUUUCUAUGUCUUUGCAGUGAAGGACUUUUGUAUACUCGCUUCGUAAGAGGUAGCGGAGGAUGAGAGAGAGAGAGAGAGAGAGAGAGAGAGAGAGAGAGAGGGGAUGGUGUUGGAAGGGAAGGGUCAUGUAAUUUGCUUGGUUUGUUUAGUAUUUUCCCUUCCCUUGCAUCAUCUCUCCUCUCUCUCUCUCUCUCUCAUUCCUGUUCUGUAUUACUGGUGUAUGUAUGUGUGUGUGUGUGUAUGUGUGUGUGUGAGGUUCCAUGUUAACCCUAUAGUGCUCUGUUCACAUUAACAUCGAUUUUAUGCCCCGCCCACAUCAGUCGCACAUCAACCAAUAAAAUUCACCUCUCCCAGAUCCACCAAUAAGAUUUAAUCCUUUCCCAGCAUCCACCAAUAAGAUUCAACCCUUCCCAGCAUCCACCAAUGAGAUUCAACCCUUCCCAGCAU